rnacentral:lncRNA from 10 species
GAAGUUUAUUUUGUCAACAUUAAGGACAUCCCCUGAAGAAAGGAACACAGAAAUCACAGAAACAGUCUGUCCUGUGUGCCUUUCUCCAAAGAGAAAAAGGCUUCAGUAUUUAAAGGGGAAACGCAGUUUGGAGGGGAAAGAGAGAAGGUGUGGUCACAUUACUGAAUCCACGUGUUGCACGAGAAAAGGAGCAGGUAGGGGAAAAGCCAAUUAUGUAUUUGUCUGGUGCUCAGUAAAUCAGCACUUUACAUAAGAUAAGGUGAACAUAGAGUAGCUACCUGUGGAGAUAUCUGGCCUUUUAUCUGCAGCCGUGUGCUUAGGGACAAAAGGAAGAGCAGUUUCUUGCAUGACUUAGAUUUCAGCUGAAUUUUUCCCUUUUGGCAUAGUGAUUUUCAUAGUGAAAUUUUAUUUUCCUUUCAGACUUGAUAAUGCUGUCCAUUCAAUAUGAGACAUCAGGGAGUUUGCUCUACAUAGUCACUCAAGCUGAUGGGGAUGUCACUCUCUUAUUCUGCCGCCUCUAUUUUUGGCUUUUGGAAGGUGGAGGGGGAGAGAAAAAAGAUCUGAAAACUAGCAUGGGGUAUUUUAGUUCAUCAAGUCUAGAAAUGACAGAUGUCACAUCCACUCACAGCCCACUGGACAUAACUAGUUGCACAAACCUGUCUAACAGAGUUGUAGCUUUCCAAGAGUCCAGGAAGAAGGGGUAAACAAAACAUUGAUGACCUGUAAUAAUCUCUACUUCAACUGCAGAGCAAGGCAGACACAUACUUAAACCUUGGAUGGAUAUCUAUAAUGUAUUAUCAAGUUAAAAAUCAAAUACAUGGUACAUAACCUUAUUUUGUUGAAAAGAAACAGCUUCACAUGUUUCUGGAUAAUACAUUCAGAUAUUAAGUUCUGCUUUUUUUUAUUUCUCCUUGUUUUAGCUCAUUUCCUUCUUCUUAUUCAAGCAGAUCGAGGCUGUGUGCUUCUCAUCUUAGGGAAGAAUAUAGCAAGAUGGCAGCAGAAAAAAAUCAGACUCCAAAAUCUAAGUCUUCAGUCCAGGGAUAUAUCCUGAGCUUCAAGUUUCACAUAGCCACCUUCCUACCACAAAAUUCUCAUUUGAAGGCUCUACUCAUUAUCUUUUCUCUGUAAAAUUGCUCUUAUGUUCCUUAUCUCAACGUAUCACAUGUCCAUCCAUCCAGUAUUCGAGGUCAUAACUUAAGAAAACAUCUUUAUCCAAACAAUCACCGUGUCCCAAACACCCCUGAAUCCAUUCAUCUCUGCACCUCCAUUGCCACCUUCAUCUUUCGUCUCAGUUAAUGUGACGGCCUCUGAUCCUAUCUUUUGCCUUCAGUCUUUCUUCUCCAAUUUAUUCUGAAGUGUAAACCAGAUUGUGUGGUUUUUUUUUAAACUUAAAUCCUUUAGCUUAUUUCCCACAAUUCUCAAGGAUAAAAUCACUUCCAAAAUCACUCAAGUCAUCACGCCAGCCUGCCUUUCAAGCCUCAUCCUCACAGUCUAUACCUGCCCUUCUUUCCCAAAUGGCAUGCUUUCUCUCACUAAGCAUUUACACAUCUUGUCUGAAAUUCCUAUCUGCAUAUGCUAAAUGCGUGCCAAUUUUUCUAAUGGGUUGUUUUGACGUGAACUGAUUACCAGAGUGAGUGCAAGUUCAAGAGCUUGACAGGGGCACACCUCUGUGCAACUCAGGCUCAAGGUGAGUGGCUUUGACAGGACAGUUCUCAUUCUAAGACAGAGCAUUCUAAAUUAUCCUUUCAAAGAUAGUUCCUCUCCCUAUCUUCCACCAUCCAUUUUAUUUUCCUUUAAUUUCUAUGUCAUGCCAUUGUUUCCUUCAUAACUCUUAAUACAAUUUGUACUUUUAUUUUGAACUUAUUUUCUUCUCCUUCGCUGCAACUAAGUUCUAUUAAAGAUCUUGCUUAUCACAUUCACAGCAACAUCAUAAGAGCCUGAUACACAGAAGACUCUGAAAAAAUAUUUGUAGAUGAAUAAGUCAAAGAAUGAGUGGUAGAUAGCGAUAACAUCAACUAUCACAUCUAAUUAUGGUCAUAAAAUUUUCACUUAAGAACUGUUGAGUGACACCAUAUUUCUAGUUUUGUUAUAGUCAUUGGUAUAAUAAAAAAGUAAUGGAAAGCACAAGAUUAUCUUACUCUCAAAUAUUACUAACUUGUUUUCUAGCUUGGAAUAUAGGCAUGCCUGCAAUAAUAUGAACACCGCACAGCACAGUUCAUGCACCUGUUAAUGACAUCAUGUUUUCUUCUCUUACUUUUACUGUGCUAAGUUCUUUGAGGGAUUAAAAAAUAUAUAAAACAUCAUGCCUCUUCUCAAGGAACUCAUAAUUUGUUUGGGGAGACAAAAUAGAUAAAUAUAUAUAAGGAAUUAUCAAUUGCAAUAUAAAGAAUAUGUAAUUAGCCAUCAAAUAAUGCUAUAAACAACAAAUAUUAGACCCCCAGUUUUUUCUUUGAGACUGUUUCCUCAUGUGUAAGAGUUACCACAAAGAUCAAAAUACAAAUUAUAUGAAUGUUUUAUGUGAGCUAUAAAUCCCAUAAAUCCCAUUACCCACGCAACACAGUAGUGCUAUUAAAAUUUUUCCUAAAGCAUAGCAAAAUAAGUUGACUACUCAGAAAACACAGACACAUUGGUAGAACACAUCAUCGAAGGAUUUAAGCUUUUUUUUUUCUUUUACAUUAUUCUGACUUAAUUUUAACUGUAAUAUUCUUAAAUGUGAAGGAAACCCUUUAUCAGGAUUGUGGAAUUAAAGAGCAUUUCUUCAUUAAGCAUGCCUUUACUUGUAGUUCACGCAUUUCAUUUACAUAAACAAGUGUUAAGUACUACUCAGCACUAUAUGUUCUUCAUAAUAGAAAAUACAAAGAUUCCUUUCAUGAAAGAUCCGAGUUAAAAGAUGCAAAUUAUAAACAAUGUCACACAUGAAACAAAAUGAAGUCUGGCUUUCCUGAUGCCAAAGAGACGUUGAGAGUUCCACAAAACAAACAGAAAUGUAAAAUCGCAGCCGGGCAUGGUGGCUCACACCUGUAAUCUCAG